UUGUGACUCUGGGGUAAAAGAGGUUUUCUGGAGAAAUGAUGUCCCGGCCCAGAUGCACAGCGAAGAGGGAGAGGCUGCUCCAGGGAGGGGUGGCUGGGUCCUGCCUGCAGGGAGGCAGGCUGCUCCCCAAAUGGGAGAGAAGGAGGAGGCUGCAGGCUUGCUGAGCAGAGUAAGAGCAAAAGAGGGCUGGGGCAAGAUUGGCACACGUAGCUGGAAGUCCCACAAGCCAGGGCCUUCGCACAGAGCUGCGCCCCGGCACCUUUCAAUACUUCAUUUUGAGAUAGUCUGCUAACUCACUACAUUGCCCAGGCUAGACUCAAACUCGACAUCUUUCUGCCUCAGCUUCUCAGAGUGUUAGAAUUAGAGGUGCACACCAUCAUGCCCAGCUACAAAACUUCCUGCAGCUCCUGGAAGUGACGGGCUGGAUUCCUAGAAGACAGGAAUUUAUGGUGUGAGAGAGCUCCAGCCUCUGCAAGCCUCAGCCAAGGCUAACAGCCCCAGCAGCGGCUGCCAAGCAGGGAGGGAGCGGGUGAGCGGCUGGGUGCAGGGGGCCUGUGUUUACAGAGCCCUCUGACCCCAAGUUCUCAAGCCAGGGGCCCCAACGAGGUCCCCCCUCCUGGUCUGCUCACCCAUGACUGGGAAAAGUGCUCCCCCUGGGGACAAGGCCUGCGGAGACACCCAAGGGUCCUGAGAGUCCCUGUGCAAGUUGCUCUAUCUCUGCCCCACCUUGGCAGCCCCCAGGGGCCAGGGGUCCCUGUGAAGCCCCACUCCUCUCUCAAGCCAAGGACAGGGUCAUGGAUGGCGGCUUCUUGGCCUCGUGUGGUGUGUCCCCUCUCUGGGGUAUAUAGCCUGGAGCUGCCUAAAGGAGCAGACCUCAGACCCUAUCCCAGGCGACUCCUGCUGGGAAGACAGCUCACCCUGACACCAACACCACCUGUGACUGAAGGUCUGUCCACCUGUCACCUGCCGAGCCCCACUGCACACAGGGCACCUGGCAGCCCAGAACAAGGCAGAGGAGCUGCGGAGGGAGACUGGCAUGGAAAGAAAAAUGGGGGUGAUUGUCCCAUGAAGUCAGGAGGACUGGAGGGACUGCAAGAUCCAAGCAUGGAGUGGCAGCCCCAGGGUUAGGAGGACAGGGGUCACUGAAAGCCCCCUGAAGAAGUGUCCUCAUGGACAGCUGGAAUUCACCAGGCAGACACACAGGGAGGGGACUUGUGGGAACAUUCCAGUUGAGACCCCAGCAUGCGCAAAGGCCCAGAAUGUUUAUACCUUGGUAAGACUUUUCAUAUAAAUAAAUUCUCAAAUAAAAAAAGAAGAAAAAGGCCUUUGGCAAAG